CCGGAAGUGAGUUAGUUACCGGUUGCUGCCAUCUUGCCAGCGUAUGUUUGACCUGCGAAAGAACUGCUGGGGCAGGCGUAGCUUUCCUCCUCCACAACCCUCUGCCAUCCUGUACCUCUGGAGUCAGCUCACCAUGGCCUGAACCCACUAGGAACCAUAAGCCAGGGUCUUAUCGAGUUGCCAAGUUGCUCAGUUUGAGCUUUCAUCCUCCUGCCUGAGCCUCCAAGAAUGCGGGGAUUACAGAUCUGCUCUACCACUCCCAGACUUUAGUUUCUUAACUCAGAAGUGAUAGAGUAAUGUACCUAUGUUACAGAAUGCGGGAGCGGACCAAAUCAUUGCUUAUAUGACUUUGAGUAAGUCACAGAAUGCCUUCCCCAGUAACCAGCACACAUUCACCUGGUGCUGCUGCUGCAGACCGGGCCAGGGUGGCUGACGUCAGCACCGACUCUUGCUGAUAUAUUUAUAAAACAUCAGGCCAGUGGCUGAAUUGCUGAGAGCUGGUUUCACCGUGAAUCCUGUUGUGUGAUCCUAAGACUGUGUGACAUCACUUAACCUCUUCAAGCAUCAACUUCCUUUUCUGAACAAGCAAGGCUAACAAUGGACGCUUCCUCGCAGGCUUCUGUGAUGAUCCAGGGGUUGGUAUGUGAUAGAAGUCUCCGCUGAGUGUCUGUCUCAGAAGAGGCGCUCAGGGAAGAGGCGCAGCACCUUGCUGUUGUGAUUAAUACCAAACGUACCGUGAAAGCAGGCUUUCGUCUCCCGCCCAUGUUAGAACUUUGAUGUUUUGCAUCCGGUUCAGCCAGAGCUGUCGCUUACAGGUGAUGGGUGAGGGGGAGGCUUUGCUGUAUGUGGCGGGCUCAGCCUGGGGCGGAUGUGUUCCCCACAGGGGCUGCACUUUGAAGAUACACCGAGGGCAGGAUGGGCCUCGCUUUUAGAUUUAGUCUCUCCAAAUGCAAAGUAACAUACGUGUUUGGUGAAAUAUUUAACAAUGUAGGACUGAGAAGCAAACACCUUCUUCCCUGCUGCGGUCUCCCACCACUCCUCAAAGCACCGGGUACUUUAGAAAGAACAAGAAGGGAGGAGCUGAACGACUGAUGUUUCAGGGACCCAUGUCCUAACUGCCCUGCCUGGAUCAUUUUAUAGUGUAUAUUUGCAAGAAAUUAAAACACUGCCCCUAAGAAUAUAUGCAAUUAACAAGAAUAAAAGCCAGAACAACAAAAACUAACAGACACACACGGUUUACCGUUGUGAGCCGUUUCAGUCUCCCCACAGCCCUUCUCCUAUGCACAUAGAAGCAUUUAAAUUAUUUUUAUUGAAGUAAAGCUCACACCAUUUAUUAUACUUUUCAUUAUAAUAACGGGAUCCUAUUGCAUAUGUUUCUACAAUCUGCUUAGCUGCAGAAUCCUACAUCAUGGGCAUCUUCCUAAGCCGCUCUAUACACUACACAGCUGGAGAAACUGGAAAAAGAUGGCCAGAUGAUGCCUCUUCCUUGGCGUCCUGGCGGCUUGUUUGUCUGUGUUCAUCUUAGUGCUGAGAAGGCAGCAGACAGCAGAAUCCAGUCUCUCUCCUCCUGGCUCCCUCUAAGCUGAGGAGGACGCAGAUCUGUGAGGUAUAUAAUAACUGCCAAGAGAACGAGCUGGUAAGCAAAUUGCACCCACGGCAGCAUGUCCAAGCCAAAGAUGGUGACCGUCUUUGUAACCAUCUCUGAAAAAACCAUCUUUGUAACCGUCUCUGAAAAAAUGGUAACUUUCAUGCCAAUAACCUUUGGUCUCA